rnacentral:tRNA from 1 species
CGCCAGAAAGCUAAGCAGGGCAACAGCGUUAGCCUUUUAAGCUAAAAAUUGGUGACCCCCAACCACCUCUAGCGA